rnacentral:rRNA from 1 species
CGGGGUGCAGCAGGCGCGAAAACUUUACAAUGCGGGAAACCGUGAUAAGGGGACACCGAGUGCCAGCAUCAUAUGCAGGCUGUCCGGGUGUGUAAAAUACACCCGUUAGCAAGGGCCGGGCAAGACCGGUGCCAGCCGCCGCGGUAACACCGGCGGCCCGAGUGGUGAUCGUGAUUAUUGGGUCUAAAGGGUCCGUAGCCGGUUUGGUCAGUCCUCCGGGAAAUCUGACGGCUCAACCGUUAGGCUUUCGGGGGAUACUGCCAGGCUUGGAACCGGGAGAGGUAAGAGGUACUACAGGGGUAGGAGUGAAAUCUUGUAAUCCCUGUGAGACCACCUGUGGCGAAGGCGUCUUACCAGAACGGGUUCGACGGUGAGGGACGAAAGCUGGGGGCACGAACCGGAUUAGAUACCCGGGUAGUCCCAGCUGUAAACGAUGCUCGCUAGGUGUCAGGCAUGGCGCGACCGUGUCCGGUGCCGCAGGGAAGCCGUGAAGUGAGCCACCUGGGAAGUACGGCCGCAAGGCUGAAACUUAAAGGAAUUGGCGGGGGAGCACAAGGGCGAUUGCGG